rnacentral:misc_RNA from 1 species
GCGGUGAGGAACUAGCUGUGCUCGUAGCCGACUUCCGUGCGCUUUUGUACUUGUAUGUGGGCAUGUAUGUGUUGUACUGAUCGUCGCACCACUGAGCAAGAAACAAAACCGAGAAAAAAGCGCCUAGGUGAGGGAUGGGCUACGGCGUUCGCUUGUCCAUUUUACCGCUUCGCGGAGGAUGCCGCCGCUGGUUCUCUGGGUGCGGUACUGGCAGCAUUCUCGGCACAGCCACCAUGGCCGGGAGCCUGCUGAAGACCCUCCAGGAGGAUCUAAGAGACGAGACUGAGCUGCGCACGAAAGGAAUAGGGGAGACACUGCAAAACUACGUGCACCGCGCAGAGCUCUCUCACAUGGAGAGCCCGGAGGCGGACGAGGCGUUCUCAAAGAGCUUGGAUGCCAAGGUCGACGAUCUCUUUGCGCGCAUUCCCCUCCCACAGGACCCCAUGAAGGUAGCCCUAGCACUGACGGAUGAGGAAGCGAAGGAGGAGGCCGCUGCUGAGCUCGUGAAGGAGGCGGUGCGGGAGAUGUACUGGCGAAAACUGGAUGCUAAACAGGCUGAAGAACUGCGCCUCAAGAGAGCACAAGAGAAGCUUCAAAAGCAAGGGGCGAUCCAGUACUUUGAAGAGCGGCGCGAAGAGAGACUGCGGGAGCACACGAAUAGACGAUUUGCCGCCCAACCGCUCGCAGUAGAGCCCCAGUCUCCGGCAGGCAAGGGGGUCACGGCGUCGCCUCUCCAGAAUCCCGAUUCCACGCUGUCAGCGGAGGAGUUGUGCGAAGAGCUGGCCACGCUGAAGGCGAAUGUGUCUCGACUGGAGGAGCUUCUGCGCUAUAAGACAUAAGGUGCGUGUCUGUGCCUUCACUCCUCGACACCUCACGUGAGGGGAGCAUUGACGCCGCUGAAGUUGCUAAGCUGAUCAGAGCACGAC